AACGAACGCUGGCGGCAUGCCUAACACAUGCAAGUCGAACGAGACCUUCGGGUCUAGUGGCGCACGGGUGCGUAACGCGUGGGAACCUGCCCUUAGGUUCGGAAUAACUCCCCGAAAGGGGUGCUAAUACCGGAUAAUGUCUUCGGACCAAGGAUUUAUCGCCUUUGGAUGGGCCCGCGUUGGAUUAGCUAGUUGGUAGGGUAAAAGCCUACCAAGGCGACGAUCCAUAGCUGGUCUGAGAGGAUGAUCAGCCACACUGGGACUGAGACACGGCCCAGACUCCUACGGGAGGCAGCAGUGGGGAAUAUUGGACAAUGGGCGAAAGCCUGAUACAGCAAUGCCGCGUGAGUGAUGAAGGCCUUAGGGUUGUAAAGCUCUUUUACCCGGGAUGAUAAUGACAGUACCGGGAGAAUAAGCACCGGCUAACUCCGUG
rnacentral:rRNA from 1 species